AACGAACGCUGGCGGCAUGCCUAACACAUGCAAGUCGAACGAGACCUUCGGGUCUAGUGGCGCACGGGUGCGUAACGCGUGGGAACCUGCCCUUAGGUUCGGAAUAACUCCCCGAAAGGGGUGCUAAUACCGGAUAAUGUCUUCGGACCAAAGAUUUAUCGCCUUGGGAGGGGCCCGCGUGGGAUUAGCUAGUGGGUAGGGUAAAAGCCGACCAAGGCGACGAUCCAUAGCUGGUCUGAGAGACUGAUCAGCCACACUGGGACUGAGACACGGCCCAGACUCCUACGGGAGGCAGCAGUGGGUAAUAUUGGACAAUGGGCUAAAGCCUGAUCCUGCAAUGCCGCGUGAGUGCUGAAGGCCUUAGGGUUGUAAAGCUCUUUUACCCGGGAUGAUAAUGACAGUACCGGGAGAAUAAGCUCCGGCUAACUCCGUG
rnacentral:rRNA from 1 species